GACGAACGCUGGCGGCGUGCUUAACACAUGCAAGUCGAACGGAAAGGCCCUGCUUUUGUGGGGUGCUCGAGUGGCGAACGGGUGAGUAACACGUGAGUAACCUGCCCUUGACUUUGGGAUAACUUCAGGAAACUGGGGCUAAUACCGGAUAGGAGCUCCUGCUGCAUGGUGGGGGUUGGAAAGUUUCGGCGGUUGGGGAUGGACUCGCGGCUUAUCAGCUUGUUGGUGGGGUAGUGGCUUACCAAGGCUUUGACGGGUAGCCGGCCUGAGAGGGUGACCGGCCACAUUGGGACCGAGAUACGGCCCAGACUCCUCCGGGAGGCAGCAGUGGGGAAUAUUGCACAAUGGGCGGACGCCUGAUGCAGCAACGCCGCGUGCGGGAUGACGGCCUUCGGGUUGUAAACCGCUUUCGCCUGUGACGAAGCGUGAGUGACGGUAAUGGGUAAAGAAGCACCGGCUAACUACGU
rnacentral:rRNA from 1 species